CCUACGGGUGGCAGCAGUGGGGAAUAUUGGACAAUGGGCGAAAGCCUGAUCCAGCCAUGCCGCGUGUGUGAAGAAGGCCUUCGGGUUGUAAAGCACUUUCAGUGGGGAAGAAAGCCUUGGGGCUAAUACCCUCGAGGAAGGACAUCACCCACAGAAUAAGCACCGGCUAACUCCGUGCCAGCAGCCGCGGUAAUACGGAGGGUGCGAGCGUUAAUCGGAAUUACUGGGCGUAAAGCGCGCGUAGGCGGUCUGAUAAGCCGGUUGUGAAAGCCCCGGGCUCAACCUGGGAACGGCAUCCGGAACUGUCAGGCUAGAGUGCAGGAGAGGAAGGUAGAAUUCCCGGUGUAGCGGUGAAAUGCGUAGAUAUCGGGAGGAAUACCAGGGGCGAAGGCGGCCUUCUGGACUGACACUGACGCUGAGGUGCGAAAGCGUGGGUAGCAAACAGGAUUAGAUACCCGAGUAGUC
rnacentral:rRNA from 1 species